UCAACAUGGCGGCGCCCACGUUACCGCUCGGCCGGGUGUCCUCUGGUGCGGGCAAGGACAAAACUUUUUCCUGUCGAGUUAUGCUACCUUAACCACCUAGAGAUGCGUCUUAACCCUUAUGAGCCCUUCAGCGCGACCUGCGGGCUGGCCGCCACCUGCGAACCUGCUGACCUUUAAUGACCCUCAUCGGCCGUGCUCCGGAAGCGCUUGCUCCUCUCCGUCUGUGUCCCGGAAACGAAUCAGACCCUGGGAUGCUGUUGGCAGAAGGCCUGUCCCUGAUUGGUUCAGCAGAUCGUCUAGAAUGCAGGUGAACACCUCUGCACUGCACGGCUUGGAUGGACACCCCAAGCUGGGCAUCCUUCACCUCCAGGAGGGAUAAGGGUACCGGUUCCUGCCAGAGUGUGACCCCCACCGACUGCAGCUACAGGAGGCAAGAGAAGAAGCGGUCCUUUAGAUGGCGCCCUGGCGGCCAGUGGGGUGACAACGUGGUGACAUCACCCCCAGGGUGACGUCUAGACCAGGAACCGCCCGCCCGCCGUCAGGUGGCGUGUGGACAGCAGCACUUGUGGCAAGAGCCCGGGGAACCUCGGGACAGCCUGGGCCCUCAAAGGCAGCGCCUGCCGGGAUUUCUUGGGCAGGACGUCAUGGUGGGGACAGGGCUUGCUGUCCUGAGGUCGGGAAAAGGGUCUGACCUUUCUUAAACUGCAGCGGGAACCUGCGCUGGCUGGAAGGGUCAGAAGACGUCUCGCUAGGCCUCUGCAAGUGAGAUACACAAACGCAUGUUAAGACUCAUUUCUGCUCUGAGGAUGACAGGGAGGUGACUUCGUUCCUUUCUUUCGCUUUAUUUAAUAAAGAAUGAAGUGACCACGCAUCAUA